GUUGUUCUCCCCAUUAAACUCAAAUGAAUUGACGGGGGCCCGCACAAGCGGUGGAGCAUGUGGUUUAAUUCGAUGCAACGCGAAGAACCUUACCUGGUCUUGACAUCCACAGAACUUUCCAGAGAUGGAUUGGUGCCUUCGGGAACUGUGAGACAGGUGCUGCAUGGCUGUCGUCAGCUCGUGUUGUGAAAUGUUGGGUUAAGUCCCGCAACGAGCGCAACCCUUAUCCUUUGUUGCCAACNGUUUUNCCGGGAACNCAAACGAGACACAGAUUGAUGGACUGGAGGAAGGUGCGNAAGAAAUCCACAAACACAAAGGA
rnacentral:rRNA from 1 species